rnacentral:rRNA from 1 species
GACGAACGCUGGCGGCGUGCUUAACACAUGCAAGUCGAACGAAGUGGCGAACGGGUGAGUAACGCGUAAUCAACCUGCCCUUCGGAGGGGGACAACAGUUGGAAACGACAGUUAAUACCACAUACCGAUGGAGGGGCUUGCGUGUGAUGAGCUAGUUGGAGGGGUAACGGCCCACCAAGGCGAUGAUCAGUAGCCGGUCUGAGAGGAUGAACGGCCACAUUGGGACUGAGACACGGCCCAGACUCCUACGGGAGGCAGCAGUGGGGAAUCUUCCGCAAUGGACGAAAGUCUGACGGAGCAACGCCGCGUGAGUGAUGACGGCCUUCGGGUUGUAAAGCUCUGUUGAUCGGGACGCGGUACCGGAAUAGAAAGCCACGGCUAACUACGUGCCAGCAGCCGCGGUAAUUC